rnacentral:rRNA from 1 species
UACGAAGGGGGCUAGCGUUGCUCGGAAUCACUGGGCGUAAAGCGCACGUAGGCGGAUCUUUUAAGUCAGGGGUGAAAUCCCAAGGCUCAACCUUGGAACUGCCUUUGAUACUGGGGAUCUCGAGUCCGGAAGAGGUGAGUGGAACUGCGAGUGUAGAGGUGAAAUUCGUAGAUAUUCGCAAGAACACCAGUGGCGAAGGUGGCUCACUGGUCCGGUACUGACGCUGAGGUGCGAAAGCGUGGGGAGCAAACAGGG